CCUGCUGAGUUUAAGCAUAUCAAUAAGUGGAGGAGAAGAAACUUACAAGGAUUCCCCUAGUAACGGCGAGUGAACCGGGAUCAGCCCAGCUUGAGAAUCAGACGGCCCCGCCGUUCGAAUUGUAGUCCGUAGAAGCGUCCUCAGCGGCGGACCGGGCCCAAAUCCCCUGGAAGGGGGCGCCAGAGAGGAUGAGAGCCCCGUCGUGCCCGGACCCUGCCGCACCACGAGAAGCUGUCGGCGAGUCGGGUUGUUUGGGAAUGUAGCCCAAAGUGGGCGGUAAAUUCCGUCCAAGGCUAAAUACCGGCGAGAGACCGAUAGUGAACAAAUACCGUGAGGGAAAGAUGAAAAGGACUUUAACGAGGGUUUGUACAUAUUAACCUUAAUUGAUUUGAACAGGGUUGAAUAGAUUGGCUAUGUUAUGGAGGGAUAUUGCAACAUACCUUAAUGCAAUACUAUUGCAACAUACUUUUUAUGGGGCCCAUAUGAAGAUGGCUCGAGGGUUAUUUUGUUGUAGGGAUGUUCUCCUCAUCAUGUAGAUCAAUAUAUUCGAAAAUCAACCCCUUCUAAAAGUUCUAACACCUUCAAAUUAGCCUAUAAAAAAUUGACAAAUUUUAGACAUUU
rnacentral:ncRNA from 1 species